GAAAUGCGAUAAGUAGUGUGAAUUGCAGAAUUCAGUGAAUCAUCGAAUCUUUGAACGCACAUUGCGCCCUUUGGUAUUCCUUAGGGCAUGCCUGUUCGAGCGUCAUCUAAACCUUCAAGCCCUGCUUGGUGUUGGGUGCCUGUCCUGCCUCCGCGCGCGGACUCACCUCAAAUCCAUUGGCGGCCCCCGCGUCGGCCACGAGCGCAGCAGAAACGCGAACUCGUGAGCCCGUCCGGGCGGCUCCCAGAAGCUACACCCACCCAGUUUGACCUCGGAUCAGGUAGGGAUACCCGCUGAACUUAAGC
rnacentral:misc_RNA from 1 species